UCUUAGUGCAAUUUUAGAAGUUAGCUGAGC
rnacentral:piRNA from 1 species